GUGACACAUCCUCUCUAGGUAUAAAGAUUCUGGUGUGUUUGCUUCCAGCAUUUUCCUCUGCACUCACAGAUGCUCAUCUAAGUAAAAGCAGCAGCUCAGGGGUAAGUAGUUGUAAUGGUCAACUUUAUGUGUUACCUUGGCUAGACCAUGGUACCCAUAAAUUUGGCUAAACACUACUGUAGAUAUUUCUGCAAAGGCGUUUUCUUUUAGAUGAGAUUAACAUUUAAAUUAGUAGACAUUGAGUAAAGCAGAUUACCCUACCUAACGUAGAUGAAUCUCAUCCAAUCAAUUGAAGGCCUGGAAUGAAGAGGGAAUUCUAUCUCCAAACUGUUUUGAAAUCCAACUGCAAAUCUUCCCUUGGUCUCCAUCCUGCCAAUAAACCCAGCAGAUGUUUAACUUGUCAGUCAUAUCAUGAAAUUAUGUCAGGGAGUGAGAGACACCUGGCUAGCUGGGCAGAGGAUCCAGAACAUGGAGAGUGAACCUGGGAAAAACUUGGAGUGCAGAUGGUUUAUUUUAUCUACACCAGCCUACUUCCUUGUUUUCUACUGGGCUUCAACCACUGGAUGGAACUUCUUUACACCACUGUUUAAUAGCUUCGUUAUUCCAGUGAACAGGAAAGGUUGAAGAGAAGGAACUCUGGAAGCUGGAAUAAAGAACUUUUUUUUAUACUGCUGUAUGCUUAGCCUCUGGUUCUGGAAGACCUUUCCACCACACCUCUUCUGGAAAAAAAAAAAAAAAAAAAGAAAGAAAAGAAAGAAAAGUGAAAACACCUUACUGUUGGUCUGGAGGAAACAUGGAACUAAAAGAAAUCCUCAAGGACUAGAAAAUGUGUGCUUUUUCUCUUGAGAAGAAUGUGCAUGACUCUGUUCCCACCACACUCAGAACAAUUCUAAAUUCUUUAACUCCUUCAUUCUUUCAAUUAUGUCUGGGAAUCAGAAGAAUCAUCUAGAAAUGAUUAGAUCAGAGCAGUUCUCAAAUGUGAAGUCCUAGAAGAAUCUUAAGGCAGCCACACUGCUUAAUUAUAACCAAACAUCCUUAAAUAAAUGUGUAUCCAUUGUUGAUGUUAAAUUUUAAAAAAGAAGUAUACUCACUUAUGUCCUUCUCGGCAAUUAAUAAACUUCAAUCUUCAGAGCCCAGAGACAAAAACAAACAAAAACAACAAAAAAAAAGAUGCAAUAUAACCUAUUAGCACAAGCAAAAACAAUGUUCUAAUAGUGAAGCUUCAUGCUGCACUGAAACGUAUAAUUAUCCAUACAAUUUAAAAUUGUAUUAAAUUUUAUGCUUUAAAAAAGUCUUUCCAGAUACUUUACACUGCCCAUUGUUUUACUACUAAGUAAAUUUUCCUAUAUUUCUGCAAUGUUGUUCAUCAUUUUUAGUUUAAUUGCAUAAUUGAGAAAUUCAGGCCCAGAGAAGUAAAAAGAAAAAAAUUCCUAACUAUAGAGCAAGAUAGCAAAUAAGAGAGAUUUGAAAGCUUAGCUAUUCUAUUAUAGGCUGGUGGUUAGAUUAAUUAAGCUAUUUUAGCUCUAGAAUUCAAUAUCUUAAAGACUCAAAAGUCAGAAUUGAAAUAUCAAUUAUUACUGGAGUGUUUUACUCUCAAAGAAACUAUUGUGAUAAAUCAGUGACCCCCAAUUACUCUUAAGUAAUACUAAAAUUAAAAGCCGUAAUCUCCAUAUUUCUCUCUUUCAAGAGAAAAUGUCAAAAUACGUUAGGCUUCAACCCUUGGUAAUUAGUUUUCACAUGUGUGUAAUAUAUAUUUUAUUGGAUGAUGUAUUCUAUAAAUGAUUUAGAGAUGGUGAUUUUAAAGACUCCCAGGCAAGACCCUAACUUUGGAAGUAAGGUUACUGUCCCUACUGUGCAGAAUGAGCAGACUCCUGUGAUUUUUCAAAGAAGUCACCAGUGUUUUUAGGGGGUGUGUUUGUGUUCUCCUAAAUCAGUCUUCUGGUUCCAUUUUCCCAGGAUAUGCUGCUAUGUGGUAGACAGGAAAUAUAUUUUCUGGACAUGUUCCAAGUUGUAGAUGCUAAGAAAGAGAUGGCUAUUAAAAGAUCAGUCCAAGGGCAUGUUAUGUGAAAUGAAUCUAGAGAUGUGUUCAGAGAACCUGUGCACAGUAUAUUUAAUCUCAGAAAAAGAAUUUACAGUAAAAUUAUAGAAUCAAUACCAAUUUUCCCACCACUAGAAUCCAUCACCCUUUGUGAUCUUGGUUUCCCUGGAAAUGUUAAGAAAAUAGAGACAAGUCUGACUUACAGAAUUGGAGGAAACUUUAUUGAUCUUUUUAUCCUUCCAGCAUUAUGAGAGCAGGCAAUACAAUAUUUUAACCCAAGCUCAAAGGAGUAAACCUUUUCCAAACUUUAAGUAAGUUGGAUGUUUUCUCCAUGUAACAGUACCCUCUCCUAAAUCAACCAUCCUCCUUCUCUACCACCAUGAUAACCCACAA